AUUGAACGCUGGCGGCAGGCCUAACACAUGCAAGUCGAACGGUAACAGGGAUCAGCUUGCUGAUUCGCUGACGAGUGGCGGACGGGUGAGUAAUGUCUGGGAAACUGCCUGAUGAAGGGGGAUAACUACUGGAAACGGUAGCUAAUACCGCAUAACGUCGCAAGACCAAAGAGGGGGACCUUCGGGCCUCUUGCCAUCGGAUGUGCCCAGAUGGGAUUAGCUAGUAGGUGGGGUAACGGCUCACCUAGGCGACGAUCCCUAGCUGGUCUGAGAGGAUGACCAGCCACACUGGAACUGAGACACGGUCCAGACUCCUACGGGAGGCAGCAGUGGGGAAUAUUGCACAAUGGGCGCAAGCCUGAUGCAGCCAUGCCGCGUGUAUGAAGAAGGCCUUCGGGUUGUAAAGUACUUUCAGCGGGGAGGAAGGGAGUAAAGUUAAUACCUUUGCUCAUUGACGUUACCCGCAGAAGAAGCACCGGCUAACUCCGUG
rnacentral:rRNA from 1 species